AGGGUGGGGGCUGGGUAGAUCCCAGAGCUGAGCCGUGACCCUGGCGCCCCUGGCGCAAGGAGCCUCAGGGCAGGAGAGGCUGGGCCUCCUGGGCUCUGGAGGCGGGGCAGGUGCUGGCUGACCUGAGACCUGGGACGCAGUUGCAGAUGGCGAGUUCCAGGAAGAAUACAGAAGACGGCACCCAUCCCGUGGAAGCUGGAAAGGAGCGGGAGAGGGCGGCAAAUAUAAGCACUCAAACUGUGGGGAUGAGGCUUUCUCAGAAAUGCAGAUGGAGCAGCUGCACCGCCGCUGCUCUGCUGCCGUGAGAGGAGCCCAGGCCUGGGGGGAGCAGGGCCAGGCUCACCCUGGUCUCUGCUCAGAAGGGCUGAGGGUGCUGCGGGGGGAUUUGCCAGCCUUUGUGGGGGGAGGGGCAGAGGGAAGCUGGCACUCUGGCAGCAGGGUGGCCUUUCCACAGCUCUGUGGAGUCCCCAGUAAACCCCACGAGACGAGCCCCACUUAGAAUUCGGAGCUCAGGAUUCCGGGGGUGGGGGCAGCGCUGGGAGGGGUGGUGACCGCACACCUGCCUCGCCAGGUGGGUCACGCCCAGGCUGUGCCUGUCCAGCUGCCCCAGCGCUUCUGUGCUGCCUUUGGCACGUGUGACAGCCGCCACCUCUGGUCUUUGUGGACCAAGCAGGGUGCCGGGCUAUCCAAGCGCAUAGCUUUGAUGACUGCUCUGGGCUUGCUCUGUCCAGCAAAGCCUGGGCGCUGGUGACCUCCACGGCACCCGUCCGAGAUGGUCUGGACACCUGGUUGCCUAGCAUCACUGCUUCCCGAACACCUGGUUUCAACAGCCAGACUGACACUUGUGAGAGAUGAGGUUUUUGUGUGUUUUUGAUCGCGUGGUUAAGGGACGUCAUUUCGUGUCAUUUGAUGCUUUUGUGUAUUCUUCCGUGGCCACACAGGCCCUUCAUGCGGAAGAAUUAAGUGCCAUCAAGUUUAAAAAAGCAUGUUCAUCCUGCUGGUUGUUCUCCGAGGCCUUUGCAAGGUCCUCCAUAUCACUGACCCUCUGGAGCCGUGGAGACGCAGCUCUGAGGCUGCCUGGCUUGUGCGGAGCGGCCUCAGGCCUGAAGGCUCCCUUGAGUCUGUGGGGAGGGGCCCCGCGUGGACGAUUGGCCCGGAGGCGGAGCCUGUGCGCUGCAGGGCGCGCCUGCCUGCCCGGUGCACUGUGCGCGUUUUCCUGGAGGACACAGAUGUUGGUGCGUCUCGGCGAGCUCCAUCCUGGCCGCUUCCUCCUACCCUGUGCCAGGGACGCUGUGAUGCAGUGGGAGAGCCUGGCUCUGCGUGGCCCGGCAACCGUGGACACCGGCAACUGUGGGCACCGGCUGGGGCAGCUCACGUCCACGGGGUUGGGAUUCAGACGACAGCCUGGCCCUACUCAGAGCUCUUUUCUGCAUGAGGGGCCCUGCCAGGGACACGGGGAGCAGACGGAGUGGGACGCCUCAUAUCCAGACCCUCUGAAGACUUGGUGUGCACGUGGGGUGCAGCAGACUUGCUGUGCAGAGAGACAGAAGGAGGGAGGGAGGCGGUUCCUUGUGGGGGCUCCCUGUAAGCCGUCUGGUGUGAUGAAGGGGUGAGGCUCUACUAACCAGCUUGGGACAGCAGUUAAGGCAAUCGUUUAUUCAUUCAACAAACGUUAAUUAGGAAGACAGAGUGUCCAGGCAUUGGGCAGGGACCUUGGCAGAGAUCAAGGCAGCCGAGGCCCUGUCCUCAUGUGGGACUUUCUCGUGGGCGAUAAAGCUGGGUGCCUGGAGUGAGGGGCCGAAGUAGCAGCUUCAGAAGGCAGUAAGGUCAGGGUGCCGUGGAGGGGGGGGUCGGGGAACCGGGAGCUGCACGGCUGCACGGACUCGUCCCUGUGCCUCUGCGGGAUCCUGACCGCAGCAGCUUCAGUCCCAGGAGGUCAGGAACCAAGAGCGUCCCCUACAGAAUGUGCAGAACAGGGCCACCCAGCCUGAGGGGCACAGGGCUGAGGUCAGCAUGCGGAACUCGGCGCAUCUGGGAAGCCAGGACCUCUCACCCCCUCUGCCUGUGAGCCCACGCGGACACCCUGCAGGCUUUUAAAUGGCUUCAUUGAGGCAUCAUGUCCUAAUGCCAAUACGCUGAGACAGAGUUAGGCUGGUUGUGUGCAUUUGGUCACAAUUAGGAUUUUAGUAUUUUUAAUUAUUGAAGAAAUGCACAUCAAAGCCACUCUGAGGUCCCACCUUACACCAGCCAGAAUGGCCAUCAUCAAAAAGUCUGCAAACGAUAAGUGCUGGAGAGGGUGUGGAGAGAAGGGAACCCUCUGACACUGCUGGUGGGAACGUAAAUUGGUGCAACCACUGUGGAAAACAGGAUGGAGAAUCCUCAGAAAACUAAACGUAGAAAAAACUACCAUUUGAUGCAGCAGUCCCGCUCCUGGGCAUCUAUCCAGAGAAAACCAUGACUCAAGAUACAUGUGCUCCGACGUUCACUGCAGCAAUAGCCGAGACAUGGAAACAACCUCAAUGUCCAUCGACAGAGGACUGGAUCCAGAAGAUGUGGUACCUGCACACAAUGGAAUAUGACUCAGCCAUUAAAGAAUGAAAUCAUGCCAUUUGCAGCAACGUGGAUGGACACAGAAAUUAUCAUGCUAAGUGAAGUCAGCUAUACAAUGAGACACCAGCAUCAAAGGCUCUCACUGACAGGUGGAAUCUGAAAAAAGGGCACAAUGGACUUCUUUGCAGAACAGAUCCUGACUCACAGACUUGGAAAAACUCAUGGUUUCCAAAGGAGACAGCUUGGGUGCGCUGGGGGUUGUGGGAUGGAAAUGCUAUAAAAUCGGGGUGUGAUGAUCAUGGUACCCCUCUAACUGGUAAAAUUCAUGGAGUAAUUUAAAAAGGGAUUUUAGUCUUCUUUAGAGCAUUAAUGGAGCAACAGGCGGUUCUGUGUGCUGGUCGUGGCGGUGGGUACAGGAGGCCGCUCGUGUGAUGAGGUGGCACAGCACAAAUCACCGGCAGUGGGCAGAGCGGCCGGAGGUCAGCCCAUACGGGCAGACCUGUCCCCAUCAAUGUCGUGGUUGAGGUGUCUCCUGUGGUUUUGCCAGAUGCCACCGAAGAGGGAAAGGCACAGGGGAAGGUGCCGGGCCCCUCGUGUGCUGUCUCUGAUGGCCACAUGGGGGUCUUCAGUUACCUAAAAAUGGGGCAUUUCGUACAAGGAAACCUUUACGCUACUUGAUUGAGAUGCAGAUGACGGAUGAUAAACGGCACGUAUUUCAAGCGGACACUUUUAAGUUUUGCUGUUUGAAUACCCCCGUGGAACCGUCACCGCAGUGAAGACUGCCAGGCUGUCACCCCAGACAUUCCCUGGGCCCUCUGGGUCCACGCCGCCCUGCCUCCACCCCCAGACUCCCGCUGGUCUGCCCUGUGUCACUACAGAGCAGUUUACACUUCC
rnacentral:lncRNA from 1 species